rnacentral:lncRNA from 1 species
AUUCACAUGAGCAAUGAUAUUGCAACUAUGAAUAUGUUUCCUUAUGGGGAGUGAAAGAAGAGUCAUCAUUCCUUCAAUCUAAAAGGAUUGCAUGAAUUCAGUAAACCAUAUUUUAUGACAUGCAUUUAUUACAUACAAUGCAAUAAUACUAACUCUACCCUUAACUCUAAUAUUGGAAAUCCCUAAAAUAAAAUGUCAUAAGUUAACUUAUAUUCUUAGGCUUUACAUUUUAACUUCAGAGAUGGAAUUCAUGGUGGAAGCAGUAAUUGUUGACCAUAAAUGAGAACAAUUUACCUGAAUGAGUAUGGAAACACCUCUUUUAAAAUCAUAUACUUUAUAGAAAACAUAACUUUCUAAUAAAGUGUUAAUUUUUCUUUGUAUUGAUGAAAGUAUUGAACAAGAAGUUUCAUAAUGCAGUUCCAGAAAAUGGGGUGACUGCCAAUUAAAACUGUGGGAAGAGAAAGUCUCCAUCUCCCUGAAGGAACAUACAGAGUCCUUUUAAGAUAAGUACAUUUAAAGAAAAUUGUUAUGCACAACACUAACUUCAUUGUAGGUUUUUGGCUCUCUUUCAUAUGACUAUGUCUUUGCAGAUGCCUUUAGCACCAGUGGGGAAUCUAUACUGGAAAUGCAUUCUUUGCCACUUGGCAGAGUAUUCACAGUAAGCGAAUAUCAGACCUAGGAUUUUGUUGUUGGAUUUUUAUCUGUGGCUGACUAAAAAGACAGACUUUUACCUACAGGUUGGAUUAUCCUAAACAAAAAGAAGAAUAAACAGAUUUUUUUUUUUUUAAGGCAAGACCAAAGGAAGAAAGGAAGACCAAAUCAAAUUUUCGUUUGUAAACAAACAAUAGCAGACAAGUUGGUUAGCAGGGACACUAUGUUUAAAUAUGUGUGUGUGUGUGUGUUUGCAUGUGGGGGGUAUGUGUGUCUCAAAAUAGGAGCAGAAUGGCAAACUGAACACCUGUUCUUUCCCACUUCAGUUACUCUGAUAUGAUCAAAUAAAUAAAUGCAUUCAUAACAGCACUAGAAAACAAGGGUGGUAUCAACAUAAAAAAUGUUGAGAUAUUUAUAAAAGAUAUAGAGCAGAUAGGAUUGAAUUCUUCGUAAAAAGAAGACCAGAAAAAAACACGUAGGAGAGAGAGAGUGCAGAGAUGAGAGUGCUUAUGGGAACUUCAGGCAGCUUUAGGAGGUCAAGGAGCAAUUGUCAUGGUGAUUAACUGGGGCAGUGCAUUUAGAGGGACUAGGCUGGUCAGUCAACCCCCCACCUCCUGACUAAGCUGAGCAAAAGAGAGCAGCAAUUGCCUUCAGGCUAAAACAGAUGUUCAUGGGCUCUGAGACCAAAGAGAUGGGACAAUUCAUUGUCACAGGUAGCUAGUGAUACCCUUGAGACCAGCUGAAACCUCCUAGCAGAAUGCCCUGUCCUGUUCCCACAAUCACUGCAGAUAAGCUCCUGUAAUCUGAAUCAAUUCCUACUAAAAUAUGAACAAGUUAUUCAAAUAUGUACAUUAACUAAACUAAGAUUACAAGAUAAAGAAAAUGUGGGAUAUAAGAAAGCAUGGUAAGAAAAAAAAUAAAAUAUAUUGUUAAGUUUAUAUCUUUUUUAUUUAAUUUCAGCUUUUAUUUUAGAUAUGAGGACAGGAGCUACAUGUGUUGGAUGUGUACAUAUAAAUGCUGAUGAACUCUAACUGUAGUCAAAAACUAAUUAUAGUAGGGCAUAUUUUAAGGAUUUAAAAGUAAAACUUCUGGUUAAUCUUAAUGGAUUAAGUCUACAUAUUUACUUCAUUUUAUUUUAGAGUGCUACUAAAAACUUAAAAGUAAAUUAAACUUGUACACAGGUAUGCACACACAUACAAAGAGGCAUUUUAAACCAACAAAAGCUAAAAGAAUGGGAAAGGAAAUGAUAGUAAAUGAGGUGUGUAAAAAAAAAAGAAAAAAGAAAAGAAAGAAUAAAGAAAGCAGCUGGGUAAGUGGUAACUGAUUUGCUGAAUCUGAAAAGGCUAAAUUUUAUGCCUGAAGAGAGUCACGCCAACAGGAAGCAAGACAACUUGUGCAAAAGAAACCCAGAAUGACUUAGGAAUUGGAGGUUCUGAGUAUCUCUGAAGGUGAGGGUAAAGGGUGAAACUGAAGAAUGAACUCUUAGAAGGAAGUUUGACUACUGUAAUCCCAGCACUUUGGGAGGCUGAAGUGGGUGGAUCACUUGAACUCAGGAGUUUGAGAACAGAGUGGGCAACAUGGCGAACGCCCGUCUCUACCAAAAAUACAAAAAUUAGCCAGGCGUGGUGGCAUGCGCUUGAGGUCCCAGCUACUAGGGAGGGCUGAGGUAGGAAGAUCAUUUGAGCCGGAAAGGUAGAGGUUGCAAUGAGCCAAGAUCUCACCACUGACUGUACUCCAGCCUGGGCAACAGAGCCAGAUCCUGUCCGUGCCCCCCCCCCCCAAAAAAGAAGGAAGUCUGACUAAAUAAAAAGCAAUCAGACCCCCAAGUGUCCUCCCUUAUUCCAAUAUCUAGGUGAUUACCUCUAACUAAACUGAGAAGACAGAAAAGUAAUGAUUCUGGAGAAAUUAAAUAUGAGAAGCUCUGAGCUCCAGGAACAGGAAGCGCAGCUAAUAGAUUAAAUGAAAUCCUACGGAAAGAGCUCCUGGUAGCCAGGCAUGUUGGCUCAUGCCUGUAAUCCCAACACUUUGGGAGGCUGAGAUGGGAAGAUGUCUUGAGCCCAGGAGUUAGAGAUGAGUCUGGGCAACAUAGUGAGACCCCAUCUCUACUAAAAAUUUAAGAAAAAAAAAAAA